GUGGGGUAGGUGUAGGCUAAAGGGGUAAAGUACUCCUUCAAUUGGCAUGGUGGAUCAGUCUCAUGGUGUGGGUUUAUGGUUCUAACUCCAGUUGCUCUAAUGAUUUUCUCGAUUUCUGGAUCUAAAGGUUGUAAUUCUAGUUGUAAUGGUCUACGACCAAGCAUAUACCCAUAAUCUAUGUAUUUGAAAUAGUUUUUUUCUUUUCAAAGAAGGAGGAGAGGAGAAGAGGA
rnacentral:lncRNA from 1 species